rnacentral:rRNA from 1 species
CAAUAGCGUAUAUUAAAGUUGUUGCAGUUAAAAAGCUCGUAGUUGGAUUUGUGGCUGUCGCGUGCGGCUCGACACUAGUGUCGAUGUUUGCUUGCGUCGCCAUCCUUGGGUGGAACCUGUGUGGCAUUAGGUUGUCGUGCAGGGGAUGCCCAUCGUUUACUGUGAAAAAAUUAGAGUGUUCAAAGCAGGCUUAUGCCGUUGAAUAUAUUAGCAUGGAAUAAUAAGAUAGGACCUUGGUACUAUUUUGUUGGUUUGCGCACCAAGGUAAUGAUUAAUAGGGACAGUUGGGGGUAUUCGUAUUCCAUUGUCAGAGGUGAAAUUCUUGGAUUUUUGGAAGACGAACUACUGCGAAAGCAUUUACCAAGGAUGUUUUCAUUAA